AGUGAACGCUGGCGGUAGGCCUAACACAUGCGAGUCGAACGGCAGCACAGUAAGAGCUUGCUCUUACGGGUGGCGAGUGGCGGACGGGUGAGGAAUACAUCGGAAUCUACUUUUUCGUGGGGGAUAACGUAGGGAAACUUACGCUAAUACCGCAUACGACCUACGGGUGAAAGCAGGGGAUCUUCGGACCUUGCGCGAUUGAAUGAGCCGAUGUCGGAUUAGCUAGUUGGCGGGGUAAAGGCCCACCAAGGCGACGAUCCGUAGCUGGUCUGAGAGGAUGAUCAGCCACACUGGAACUGAGACACGGUCCAGACUCCUACGGGAGGCAGCAGUGGGGAAUAUUGGACAAUGGGCGCAAGCCUGAUCCAGCCAUACCGCGUGGGUGAAGAAGGCCUUCGGGUUGUAAAGCCCUUUUGUGGGGAAAGAAAAGCAGCAGGUUAAUACCCCGCUGUUCUGACGGUACCCAAAGAAUAAGCACCGGCUAACUUCGUG
rnacentral:rRNA from 1 species